GAUGAACGCUGGCGGCGUGCCUAAUACAUGCAAGUCGAGCGAACAGACGAGGAGCUUGCUCCUCUGACGUUAGCGGCGGACGGGUGAGUAACACGUGGAUAACCUACCUAUAAGACUGGGAUAACUUCGGGAAACCGGAGCUAAUACCGGAUAAUUUUUUAACCCCAUGGUUUCAAUGUUGAAACGGGUUUUGCCUGCCACUUUAAGUGGAACCGCGCCGCAUUAGUUUGUUGGUAAGGUAACGGCUUACCAAGGCAACGAUGCGUAGCCGACCUGAGAGGGUGAUCGGCCACACUGGAACUGAGACACGGUCCAGACUCCUACGGGAGGCAGCAGUAGGGAAUCUUCCGCAAUGGGCGAAAGCCUGACGGAGCAACGCCGCGUGAGUGAUGAAGGUCUUCGGAUCGUAAAACUCUGUUAUUAGGGAAGAACAAAUGUGUAAGUAACUAUGCACGUCUUGACGGUACCUAAUCAGAAAGCCACGGCUAACUACGUG
rnacentral:rRNA from 1 species